rnacentral:rRNA from 1 species
AGAGUUUGAUCCUGGCUCAGGAUGAACGCUAGCGACAGGCUUAACACAUGCAAGUCGAGGGGCAUCAUGAGGUAGCAAUACCUUGAUGGCGACCGGCGCACGGGUGAGUAACGCGUAUGCAACCUGCCCGAUACCGGGGUAUAGCCCAUGGAAACGUGGAUUAACACCCCAUAGUACUUUUAUCCUGCCUGGGAUGGGAGUUAAAUGUUCAAGGUAUCGGAUGGGCAUGCGUCCUAUUAGUUAGUUGGCGGGGUAACAGCCCACCAAGACGAUGAUAGGUAGGGGUUCUGAGAGGAAGGUCCCCCACAUUGGAACUGAGACACGGUCCAAACUCCUACGGGAGGCAGCAGUGAGGAAUAUUGGUCAAUGGACGAGAGUCUGAACCAGCCAAGUAGCGUGAAGGAUGAAGGUCCUACGGAUUGUAAACUUCUUUUAUAAGGGAAUAAAACCUCCCACGUGUGGGAGCUUGUAUGUACCUUAUGAAUAAGCAUCGGCUAACUCCGUGCCAGCAGCCGCGGUAAUACGGAGGAUGCGAGCGUUAUCCGGAUUUAUUGGGUUUAAAGGGUGCGUAGGCGGUUUAUUAAGUUAGUGGUUAAAUAUUUGAGCUAAACUCAAUUGUGCCAUUAAUACUGGUAAACUGGAGUACAGACGAGGUAGGCGGAAUAAGUUAAGUAGCGGUGAAAUGCAUAGAUAUAACUUAGAACUCCGAUAGCGAAGGCAGCUUACCAGACUGUAACUGACGCUGAUGCACGAGAGCGUGGGUAGCGAACAGGAUUAGAUACCCUGGUAGUCCACGCCGUAAACGAUGCUCACUGGUUCUGUGCGAUAUAUUGUACGGGAUUAAGCGAAAGUAUUAAGUGAGCCACCUGGGGAGUACGUCGGCAACGAUGAAACUCAAAGGAAUUGACGGGGGCCCGCACAAGCGGAGGAACAUGUG